GAUGAACGCUGGCGGCGUGCCUAAUACAUGCCAGUCGAGCGAACAGACGAGGAGCUUGCUCCUUUGACGUUAGCGGCGGACGGGUGAGUAACACGUGGAUAACCUACCUAUAAGACUGGGAUAACUUCGGGAAACCGGAGCUAAUACCGGAUAACAUGUUGAACCGCAUGGUUCAACAGUGAAAGACGGUCUUGCUGUCACUUAUAGAUGGAUCCGCGCCGCAUUAGCUAGUUGGUAAGGUAACGGCUUACCAAGGCAACGAUGCGUAGCCGACCUGAGAGGGUGAUCGGCCACACUGGAACUGAGACACGGUCCAGACUCCUACGGGAGGCAGCAGUAGGGAAUCUUCCGCAAUGGGCGAAAGCCUGACGGAGCAACGCCGCGUGAGUGAAGAAGGUCUUCGGAUCGUAAAACUCUGUUAUUAGGGAAGAACAAAUGUGUAAGUAACUAUGCACGUCUUGACGGUACCUAAUCAGAAAGCCACGGCUAACUACGUG
rnacentral:rRNA from 1 species